GCAGCAGUAUGUUUAUAUGGCGGUGACCGAGGCAUGAUUACCCUGCGCGUCACAGGUUUUAAUGCAUCUAAUCAGGCUGCAUGUUUUAUUCAGAUUUCCCACUGAUGUGUUGCUCUACACUUCAUUUGCGCUGAUGAUGGCGAUAAUGACGCACAGGAUAUGCGCUCGGCUCAAAUGAGCACGCUUUCACGGCAACACUGACUCAAACUCGUUUAUAAAUGUUGAUAUGGCAGAUGAUUUCUGUGAAACAAGUUCCAAAUUUGUUCACUUCUGUGUUUUUUUGAGUGCUAGAGUUUCUAGUUCCUGAUGUGAUCAAACACAUUACUGAUGAAACCUCAAACCAUGAUGAUAUCAACCUCAGGUCACGUGUGGAGGAAAACAGUCCUAUCAGGUCUCAGGUGAUGUUUUAGAGGUCCUUCAACCAGAGCAGGACAUCUAUAACUUAUUUAACACUGUUCAUGGUUGCUGAGCAGCUUGUGUGACCGUCAGCAGAAGCAGCAGAUCCAAAGGUCAUCCAGUCACCGCAGGUGAACUCAUGUGGAUGUCUGGUGAUUUCUUUGAAGUGUUAUCCCUCCGUCUGCGGGAAUGACUUCCAUAUGUCACCUAAAAGACCACCCAGAGUCCAUUAGGUGCAGUGAACUGAAGUGAGGUGUGCAGACGAUCAAUAACUCGGACAAUCGCUCAACCUGAUGUGUGCAUGACCUCAGAAACCAGAGAGCUUGAUCCCUGUAAGAGCUGCUGAACUCCUGGCGAUAAUCUUCUGACUUGAUUUUAUGAAUCACCAAGGAGCAUGAUUUCAGCUAAAAAUCUUCUUUACUGUUCUACUGAAGAAGAAAAAAAGUCACCUACAUCUCGG
ensembl:lncRNA